AGGAGUUAGGAUUUGUAAGAAGAGGAAGAAGGAGGGAGAAACGCCUAAACCUGAACUGAAGCACACUCAAUCUUACGUCUUCUACUAGAGCUACUCAGAGUAUCAAGAGGAGUGGUCUGAGCCUUGGAUCAUUCGUUUGUGGCAAGAAACGGGCAAGAACGCGAGGCAAUCGGCGACGGACACGCGGCCAACGAAGAGGGAGGGCACGCAUCGAGCAACUGGUGGAGAGACGCGUCUGGCACCUUCGCUGACACACGUCCGACGGCUGACCCUAAAACCCAAACCGAAACCCACCGCCAGCCCUUGUACGACACAUGUCACACCCAGAAAAUUCGAGAGGUCACUACAUAGAAAAUUCGUAAUUUUCGGACUCCGUACGACUGUAAAUCAAGCUUGGGAAGGCACGCGACAUACUUGUAAGUAACUACACAGAAUUAGGAAGUAAUGCUUGUAGGGUGCGCUUGGUUUUACAUGCAUACUAGAGCAAAUUACUCCUAGGUGGCUAGAUCUGAUAAUCCUCUGUACUUUGGAAAUUAAAUAUAUAUCUGUUGGACUUGCUGCCCUAAUGAGAUUUCAUACUCGAUGUUUGUAUGCUUGCUGAACUAUCUUAUUGCUGCUUUUAUCUGUUCAUAAUAUGUUGGCAGACGAGGGAAAUUGUGUAUCUGUGCUCCGAGUGUUAAUGGAUAUUAUUGCCUCGUUGAGCUUGUAUGACUAUAUGCAUUGUUAAUCAUACAUAAACUCUUGUUGAAUGAUUGUGUGAACAUAUGAUAUGAAUGAUAAGUUGUAGUGUUGUGUUAUGCCUAGGUUGUACUCUUGCAGGGAUUGAGAAGGGU